AUUGAACGCUGGCGGCAUGCUUUACACAUGCAAGUCGAACGGUAACAGGCCUUCGGGUGCUGACGAGUGGCGAACGGGUGAGUAAUGCAUCGGAACGUACCCAGAGGUGGGGGAUAACGCAGCGAAAGCUGUGCUAAUACCGCAUGUGAUCUGAGGAUGUAAGCGGGGGACCGAGCAGCAAUGUUUGGCCUCGCGCCUUUGGAGCGGCCGAUGUCGGAUUAGCUAGUUGGUGGGGUAAAGGCCUACCAAGGCGACGAUCCGUAGCUGGUCUGAGAGGACGACCAGCCACACUGGGACUGAGACACGGCCCAGACUCCUACGGGAGGCAGCAGUGGGGAAUUUUGGACAAUGGGCGCAAGCCUGAUCCAGCAAUGCCGCGUGCGGGAAGAAGGCCUUCGGGUUGUAAACCGCUUUUGGCAGGAACGAAACGGUGUCCGCUAAUACCGGGCGCUAAUGACGGUACCUGCAGAAUAAGCACCGGCUAACUACGUG
rnacentral:rRNA from 1 species